rnacentral:rRNA from 1 species
GAGUUUGAUCCUGGCUCAGGAUGAACGCUGACAGAAUGCUUAACACAUGCAAGUCUUUGGCGAAGCUGUGCUUGCACAGCCUAGCCAAGGCGGACGGGUGAGUAACGCGUAAGGGACUUGCCCUGCAGUCAGGGAUAACAGACGGAAACGACUGAUAAAACCUGGUAAAGUCAGGCGGACUCAUGUCCAGCCUGAUGAAAAGGAAUGCUGCAGGAGAGCCUUGCGUCCUAUUAGCUAGUUGGUGGGGUAACGGCCCACCAAGGCGAUGAUAGGUAGCCGGCCUGAGAGGGUGGACGGCCACAAGGGGACUGAGAUACGGCCCUUACUCCUACGGGAGGCAGCAGUGGGGAAUAUUGGACAAUGGGGGCAACCCUGAUCCAGCAAUUCUGUGUGCACGAAGAAGGUUUUCGGAUUGUAAAGUGCUUUCAGCAGGGAAGAAGAAAGUGACGGUACCUGCAGAAGAAGCGACGGCUAAAUACGUGCCAGCAGCCGCGGUAAUACGUAUGUCGCGAGCGUUAUCCGGAAUUAUUGGGCAUAAAGGGCAUCUAGGCGGCCUAAUAAGUCAGGGGUGAAAACCUGCGGCUCAACCGCAGGCUUGCCUUUGAAACUGUAAGGCUAGAGUAUCGGAGAGGUGGACGGAACUGCACGAGUAGAGGUGAAAUUCGUAGAUAUGUGCAGGAAUGCCGAUGAUGAAGAUAGUUCACUGGACGGUAACUGACGCUGAAGUGCGAAAGCUAGGGGAGCAAACAGGAUUAGAUACCCUGGUAGUCCUAGCUGUAAACGAUGAUUACUGGGUGUGGGCAUGAAGAGUGUCCGUGCCGAAGCAAAUGCGAUAAGUAAUCCGCCUGGGGAGUACGGCCGCAAGGCUGAAACUCAAAGGAAUUGACGGGGACCCGCACAAGCGGUGGAGCAUGU